GUCAGCGGCGGACGGGUGAGUAACACGUGGGCAACCUGCCCGCAAGACCGGGAUAACUCCGGGAAACCGGAGCUAAUACCGGAUAACACCGAAGACCGCAUGGUCUUUGGUUGAAAGGCGGCCUUUGGCUGUCACUUGCGGAUGGGCCCGCGGCGCAUUAGCUAGUUGGUGAGGUAACGGCUCACCAAGGCGACGAUGCGUAGCCGGCCUGAGAGGGUGACCGGCCACACUGGGACUGAGACACGGCCCAGACUCCUACGGGAGGCAGCAGUAGGGAAUCUUCCGCAAUGGGCGAAAGCCUGACGGAGCGACGCCGCGUGAGCGAAGAAGGCCUUCGGGUCGUAAAGCUCUGUUGUGAGGGACGAAGGAGCGCCGUUCGAAGAGGGCGGCGCGGUGACGGUACCUCACGAGGAAGCCCCGGCUAACUACGUGCCAGCAGCCGCGGUAAUACGUAGGGGGCGAGCGUUGU
rnacentral:rRNA from 1 species